rnacentral:rRNA from 1 species
AACGAACGCUGGCGGCGCGCCUAAUACAUGCAAGUCGAGCGAGAAGACGUAGCAAUACGUUUGUAAAGCGGCGAACGGGUGAGGAAUACAUGGGUAACCUACCCUCGAGUGGGGAAUAACUAGCCGAAAGGUUAGCUAAUACCGCGUACGCUCCUUGGACUUCGGUUCAGGGAGGAAAGCGAUACCGUGGGUAUCGCGCUCUUGGAUGGGCCCAUGUCCUAUCAGCUUGUUGGUGAGGAACGGCUCACCAAGGCUUCGACGGGUAGCUGGUCUGAGAGGACGAUCAGCCACACUGGCACUGCGACACGGGCCAGACUCCUACGGGAGGCAGCAGUAAGGAAUAUUGCGCAAUGGGCGAAAGCCUGACGCAGCGACGCCGCGUGGGGGAUGAAGGUCUUCGGAUUGUAAACCCCUUUCGGGAGGGAAGAUGGAACGAGCAAUCGUUCGGACGGUACC